AAAAUCUUACUUUCAGGAGAUAAGAGUGAGUAACUCCUUAAAUCUUGUGAUCUAGACUCCUUACAGUGUCCUGGAUCUAGCAAGAGAGGUUAGGUGACAUGACUGGCAUCAUUCAGCUGGCAAAUAGCAGCUGGGAUUUGAACUUGGGACAUCUAACUCUUACCACUGGUGUCAAUGUACCUAUAGUGCACAGUAGAAUGUCACAACAGCCUUAAGAAACUUGAACAACACAAAGGAUACAGGAGGUAAGAGAUAAAGGUCACUUUAGGCCAGAAGACAGUCUUCAAAGGAAUUGAAAUUGUAGUGGUUAAAUGGUGGCCUCAAAAUAGAGAUGUUCACCUUCUAAACCCUAGACCAUGGGAACAUGCAUGGCCUUAUUUGGAAAAAUCUUCUUGGCAAAAGUAAUGAAGUGAAGGUUCCUGAUGAGAUCAACCUGGAUUACCUGGGUGACCCCUAAAUCCAGUAAGUGUCCUUUGAAGAGAGAGAAGAUGGGAAGAUGCAGACACACAGACAAAGUCCUGUGAAGACAGAGGAG
rnacentral:lncRNA from 1 species